rnacentral:rRNA from 1 species
GAGAUUCCCCCAGUAGCGGCGAGCGAACGGGGAGCAGCCCAGAGCCUGAAUCAGUGUGUGUGUUAGUGGAAGCGUCUGGAAAGGCGCGCGAUACAGGGUGACAGCCCCGUACACAAAAAUGCACAUGCUGUGAGCUCGAUGAGUAGGGCGGGACACGUGGUAUCCUGUCUGAAUAUGGGGGGACCAUCCUCCAAGGCUAAAUACUCCUGACUGACCGAUAGUGAACCAGUACCGUGAGGGAAAGGCGAAAAGAACCCCGGCGAGGGGAGUGAAAAAGAACCUGAAACCGUGUACGUACAAGCAGUGGGAGCCUCUUUUAUGGGGUGACUGCGUACCUUUUGUAUAAUGGGUCAGCGACUUAUAUUCUGUAGCAAGGUUAACCGAAUAGGGGAGCCGAAGGGAAACCGAGUCUUAACUGGGCGUUAAGUUGCAGGGUAUAGACCCGAAACCCGGUGAUCUAGCCAUGGGCAGGUUGAAGGUUGGGUAACACUAACUGGAGGACCGAACCGACUAAUGUUGAAAAAUUAGCGGAUGACUUGUGGCUGGGGGUGAAAGGCCAAUCAAACCGGGAGAUAGCUGGUUCUCCCCGAAAGCUAUUUAGGUAGCGCCUCGUGAAUUCAUCUCCGGGGGUAGAGCACUGUUUCGGCAAGGGGGUCAUCCCGACUUACCAACCCGAUGCAAACUGCGAAUACCGGAGAAUGUUAUCACGGGAGACACACGGCGGGUGCUAACGUCCGUCGUGAAGAGGGAAACAACCCAGACCGCCAGCUAAGGUCCCAAAGUCAUGGUUAAGUGGGAAACGAUGUGGGAAGGCCCAGACAGCCAGGAUGUUGGCUUAGAAGCAGCCAUCAUUUAAAGAAAGCGUAAUAGCUCACUGGUCGAGUCGGCCUGCGCGGAAGAUGUAACGGGGCUAAACCAUGCACCGAAGCUGCGGCAGCGACGCUUAUGCGUUGUUGGGUAGGGGAGCGUUCUGUAAGCCUGCGAAGGUGUACUGUGAGGUAUGCUGGAGGUAUCAGAAGUGCGAAUGCUGACAUAAGUAACGAUAAAGCGGGUGAAAAGCCCGCUCGCCGGAAGACCAAGGGUUCCUGUCCAACGUUAAUCGGGGCAGGGUGAGUCGACCCCUAAGGCGAGGCCGAAAGGCGUAGUCGAUGGGAAACAGGUUAAUAUUCCUGUACUUGGUGUUACUGCGAAGGGGGGACGGAGAAGGCUAUGUUGGCCGGGCGACGGUUGUCCCGGUUUAAGCGUGUAGGCUGGUUUUCCAGGCAAAUCCGGAAAAUCAAGGCUGAGGCGUGAUGACGAGGCACUACGGUGCUGAAGCAACAAAUGCCCUGCUUCCAGGAAAAGCCUCUAAGCAUCAGGUAACAUCAAAUCGUACCCCAAACCGACACAGGUGGUCAGGUAGAGAAUACCAAGGCGCUUGAGAGAACUCGGGUGAAGGAACUAGGCAAAAUGGUGCCGUAACUUCGGGAGAAGGCACGCUGAUAUGUAGGUGAAGUCCCUCGCGGAUGGAGCUGAAAUCAGUCGAAGAUACCAGCUGGCUGCAACUGUUUAUUAAAAACACAGCACUGUGCAAACACGAAAGUGGACGUAUACGGUGUGACGCCUGCCCGGUGCCGGAAGGUUAAUUGAUGGGGUUAGCGCAAGCGAAGCUCUUGAUCGAAGCCCCGGUAAACGGCGGCCGUAACUAUAACGGUCCUAAGGUAGCGAAAUUCCUUGUCGGGUAAGUUCCGACCUGCACGAAUGGCGUAAUGAUGGCCAGGCUGUCUCCACCCGAGACUCAGUGAAAUUGAACUCGCUGUGAAGAUGCAGUGUACCCGCGGCAAGACGGAAAGACCCCGUGAACCUUUACUAUAGCUUGACACUGAACAUUGAGCCUUGAUGUGUAGGAUAGGUGGGAGGCUUAGAAGUGUGGACGCCAGUCUGCAUGGAGCCGACCUUGAAAUACCACCCUUUAAUGUUUGAUGUUCUAACGUUGACCCGUAAUCCGGGUUGCGGACAGUGUCUGGUGGGUAGUUUGACUGGGGCGGUCUCCUCCUAAAGAGUAACGGAGGAGCACGAAGGUUGGCUAAUCCUGGUCGGACAUCAGGAGGUUAGUGCAAUGGCAUAAGCCAGCUUGACUGCGAGCGUGACGGCGCGAGCAGGUGCGAAAGCAGGUCAUAGUGAUCCGGUGGUUCUGAAUGGAAGGGCCAUCGCUCAACGGAUAAAAGGUACUCCGGGGAUAACAGGCUGAUACCGCCCAAGAGUUCAUAUCGACGGCGGUGUUUGGCACCUCGAUGUCGGCUCAUCACAUCCUGGGGCUGAAGUAGGUCCCAAGGGUAUGGCUGUUCGCCAUUUAAAGUGGUACGCGAGCUGGGUUUAGAACGUCGUGAGACAGUUCGGUCCCUAUCUGCCGUGGGCGCUGGAGAACUGAGGGGGGCUGCUCCUAGUACGAGAGGACCGGAGUGGACGCAUCACUGGUGUUCGGGUUGUCAUGCCAAUGGCACUGCCCGGUAGCUAAAUGCGGAAGAGAUAAGUGCUGAAAGCAUCUAAGCACGAAACUUGCCCCGAGAUGAGUUCUCCCUGACUCCUUGAGAGUCCUGAAGGAACGUUGAAGACGACGACGUUGAUAGGCCGGGUGUGUAAGCGCAGCGAUGCGUUGAGCUAACCGGUACUAAUGAACCGUGAGG